rnacentral:rRNA from 1 species
UGCCUAAUACAUGCAAGUAGAACGCUGAAGCUUGGUGCUUGCACCGAUGCGGAUGAGCUGCGAACGGGUGAGUAACGCGUAGGUAACCUGCCUCUUAGCGGGGGAUAACUAUUGGAAACGAUAGCUAAUACCGCAUAAAAGUCGAUAUCGCAUGAUAUUGAUUUGAAAGGUGCAAUUGCAUCACUAAGAGAUGGACCUGCGUUGUAUUAGCUAGUUGGUGAGGUAACGGCUCACCAAGGCGACGAUACAUAGCCGACCUGAGAGGGUGAUCGGCCACACUGGGACUGAGACACGGCCCAGACUCCUACGGGAGGCAGCAGUAGGGAAUCUUCGGCAAUGGGGGCAACCCUGACCGAGCAACGCCGCGUGAGUGAAGAAGGUUUUCGGAUCGUAAAGCUCUGUUGUAAGAGAAGAACGAGUGUGAGAGUGGAAAGUUCACACUGUGACGGUAACUUACCAGAAAGGGACGGCUAACUACGUGCCAGCAGCCGCGGUAAUACGUAGGUCCCGAGCGUUAUCCGGAUUUAUUGGGCGUAAAGCGAGCGCAGGCGGUUAGAUAAGUCUGAAGUUAAAGGCUGUGGCUUAACCAUAGUACGCUUUGGAAAUUGUUUAACUUGAGUGCAGAAGGGGAGAGUGGAAUUCCAUGUGUAGCGGUGAAAUGCGUAGAUAUAUGGAGG